GAUGCCGAUGACAAUUCGAGGAAGGUGGGAGGACGUCAAGUCAUCAUGGCCCUAACGUGUAGGGUACACACGUGAUACAAUGGCUGGUACAAACGGUUGCGAACCCGCGAGGGGAAGCUAAUCCGAGAAAGCUGGUCGUAGUCCGGAUUGGGGUCUGCAACUCGACCCCAUGAAGUCGGAAUCGCUAGUAAUCGUGAAUCAGAAUGUCACGGUGAAUACGUUCCCGGGCCUUGUACACACCGCCCGUCACACCAUGGGAGUGGGUUGCACCAGAAGUGGCUAGUCUAACUUAGGAGGACGGUCACCACGGUGUGAUUCAUGACUGGGGUGAAGUCGUAACAAGGUAACC
rnacentral:rRNA from 1 species